GGUGGAACUGCUCGCAGUUAAGGCUAAUGGGAGCCUUUUGUGCUAGCAAGCGUUUCUAAAGGCUCAGAAUACUCUGGAAUUAAUUUAUUGCUGAGGAAGGUGUAUCUGACAGAAGAGUAACAAGGGAAACCCUCUGCUUAUUGAUCCCAUUGGUCUGUCAUAAACAGCACAUGCUUCCCAGUGUUCAUCCAUACAAGUUGAUUCAUCUAUCCUGCUGAUCCUGAGGAAUUGUUCCACUAACCAGACAAGAUCAGGAUAGAACACUGACUUUAAAACUACAUGCUGCAUUUCCUGCUUGGGGGAUGCCAGUGCUCCGGAAGGAGAUGGUGUGUGAGCUGUUCAUCAAGCAGAAGGAAUGCUUACCAGUUGGGGCCGUAACCCGACACUGGAGACAGAUGUGCUCAAGCAAAGGAAACGGGGGAUGGCUCAGAUUAGGUUAAACCAACUUCUCUUUUUUGAGAGAGAGAGGUUUUCCACAUAAAUUGCAGAGAUGCAUAAUUUAGAAAGUACCUUUUUAGUUUUAAACUGUGAAGAAAGUUUGCUGUGUCUGUGAUCUUCUGGGUUUUCCUGCAGUACAAGACAUACUUGGAAUUAAUAAAAUAGUAAUAAAAAAGAACAUU